rnacentral:lncRNA from 1 species
GCACUGGGCAUGCUCCGUAGCCCGGGCAGGUUGGGGCUGCGAGGCGACAGCUCGGGCUCUGAAGCCGGGAGGCGAGAACGAAGAGGGAGACUGAGGAGCUGGGGAAGGAGGGAGCAGCCGGCCGCUAGGCGCGGCGGGGCCCAGAGCUGGGGCACACCGAGCCCGGCGGGCGGGCGCAGCAGGCGGGCGCUGCCCCACGGAUCGGCCGAGGCGCACCCCGCGGAGACCCCAGCCUGGGGCUGAGAAAAAAGAUGGUUUCUCUAUGAUACAGGAUCUUGAAAUGUGAUCUUUCUUAAGGUACGUGUAUGUGCUUUUAAAAGUUAACUUAUUAUGACUUUUUAAAACAUUUUGUUAUCUUGACUACAUUGCAACUCAAACUAUUAAAUUGAGAAGCCAUUUUUAUGCAGUGCAUGCCAUUGUGAGUUGAAUUAAAACCUCCGAUUCAUCUUUCUAAGUUAAGUAUUGUGUUUUCCAAGCUUUUUAAAGAACAACUGUUUUGAGCAAGUAUUUGUCUACAGCAGUCAAUGCGUGAGAUGUGUAAUAAGUGAAUGUCUCUCAGUAGGUAGAUUUUUUUUUUAUUGAACUAGACUAAUUUCAGCCUAUCGAGAUGAAAUAUGUUCCUUUUUUUUUUCUGUGGGUGGCGUCAUUCUGGGAAGCCUAGAAUUUGGAAGUAUAGGAUGGUCUGUGGCCAAAGUUGUCACAGCUUCCAUUUUUUUCUGUGAGUUUUUUUUUUUUUUCCCCAGUGUGUGGAUUGUGGUUUGCUUGUCACUUUAUCAGCUAUAACAAAGUCAUGGACAUUCUAGGUUUAUUGGAGACUUUUUGCAAUCUAUACAGAGUCUCCAAUAGGUUUCUCCAUUUCAUGGACGGAGCUCCUAGCUUUGUUUUCCUAACGUUUACUCUGUAGCGUGUACCAAAUCUGCUGGUGUUCUGAAAGGUAUGCUUGAGGAUAUUGAUUCUGAUGAGAGUGGCAUGGCCAGAGGUCCCUAAAGGUGCUGGGAAAGUUCGAGACACAACUGUAGAAUCGCUUCUGAGAUUUGGGGAUGGUCCAAGAUCACCGCAGUCAAAUCUGACCUUGGGCCACUAUCCUUCACUGUGUUCCAACAGUCUCUGCUCAGAUUGUAGGAUUUUCAUUCCUAGGUCAUUUCGGGCCAGAGAAGAUAUGGUAUGGAAACAUUCUUCUCCAUUUUAUAAUCACAGAUUUGUGAAUCUGAUGGGGCGUGUCUUCAUUCUUCUGUCAGCUUCACAAAAGUGACUUUUCACCUCCAACUUUCCAUGACCUUGUCCAGCUUGUGGCCAUCCCCAGCCUGGGGAUGGCUCAGUUCUCCUCUUUGCCAGAACUCCCAAAGUUCCUUACCUGUUUAUCACUUACAAAACAUCACCUACCACUAGGGAGCGAAAAGGGAGAAUUAUGACAUGGACUAGAUCAUUGGAAAUCUGAGGUAAAGAACAAACAUGCUUCCUUAUCUCUAAAUUGGAAAUAGAGGAGAUAACGCUGAGAUGAAAUAUCUGUCCUACUAUAAGGUGAGUUGAAACAACAGUGUACGUUCAGCAUUUGGAAAUAAAAACUGCAAGGGUAUAUUUGUAAAUAGAGACAUUAAACGAAGAGAUUGCAGCUACUUUGCUGCAGAAAUGGACUUCACAGAUCUGCUGUGUGCAGAUUACUUACAGCGAAAUGACUGCAAAAUUAUGAACCAAAUGUUUGCUUUACCUUUUUUUUCCUUGAAAUUAUUUCUUCAGAUUUUGGCUUCAGAGAUGACACAGAGCAACGUGAGUUAAUCACAGGCGGAGGGCUGAUGAACAGCAUAUAAAUGUUGAUUUAUAAAAAUACUCUUUUAGGAAAUCCAAAUUGUUAGACCUUGAUCUUCUUCGCAGCUAGAAUGAUAAUUAGGCUUCAUUGCAGCAUAAAUAAUUUAUACUAUACAUCUGCUACCAGACAUACAUUGAAAAAAUUUGGCUCCCAAGCAUUAGGAAAAUUGCAUUUUCUCAUUUCUCUAAUACCAACCCAAAGCCCCUCUUGUGAGUGAGGACCCACAUCUGUGCCAUGUAUUUUCACAUAUCUGCAGCACACCUGGGGACAGGGUCUUUAGAAGGGGCUUCUGACCUGUGUGGGUCACAGAGUCCAGGAAGUGGUGGGAUAUGUAAGAGGUCCUGGAAUCCAUGGUAACAUUAAGGGUUGUUCACAUGUUGAAUAAGUAACGUCUCCCACAUUUAUGUGUAUGACUCUUUGGAAAUCCUAUAUAGUUGCUGUUGUUAUGAUGAAAUAUACAUGAAUAUAAGGGACCU